rnacentral:tRNA from 1 species
GGCUAACAUUUCAUAGGCGUUUGACUGUUAAUCAAAAGAUUGGUGGUUCGAUCCCACC